UGAUGAUGAUGACGAUGAUGAUGAUGACGAUGAUGAUGAUGACGAUGACGACAGCAACGACGUCGAUGACGACGACGAUGAGAAAUGAAGAGAAGAAGAGGUUUAACAGCAAAGACGAACAAAUGAAAUAACCCGAGAGAGGAAAGGGUUGAGAAACCGCAUUUAUAUCAUCUAGGAGUCAUCGAUGUCUUCGCCAUCAUCAUCAUCAUCAUCAUCAUCAUCAAUUUCA
rnacentral:pre_miRNA from 1 species